GACGAACGCUGGCGGCGUGCCUAAUACAUGCAAGUAGAACGCUGAAGGAGGAGCUUGCUUCUCUGGAUGAGUUGCGAACGGGUGAGUAACGCGUAGGUAACCUGCCUGGUAGCGGGGGAUAACUAUUGGAAACGAUAGCUAAUACCGCAUAAUAGUAGAUGUUGCAUGACAUUUGCUUAAAAGGUGCAAUUGCAUCACUACCAGAUGGACCUGCGUUGUAUUAGCUAGUUGGUGGGGUAACGGCUCACCAAGGCGACGAUACAUAGCCGACCUGAGAGGGCGAUCGGCCACACUGGGACUGAGACACGGCCCAGACUCCUACGGGAGGCAGCAGUAGGGAAUCUUCGGCAAUGGACGGAAGUCUGACCGAGCAACGCCGCGUGAGUGAAGAAGGUUUUCGGAUCGUAAAGCUCUGUUGUAAGAGAAGAACGAGUGUGAGAGUGGAAAGUUCACACUGUGACGGUAUCUUACCAGAAAGGGACGGCUAACUACGUGCCAGCAGCCGCGGUAAUACGUAGGUCCCGAGCGUUGUCCGGAUUUAUUGGGCGUAAAGCGAGCGCAGGCGGUUAGAUAAGUCUGAAGUUAAAGGCUGUGGCUUAACCAUAGUACGCUUUGGAAACUGUUUAACUUGAGUGCAAGAGGGGAGAGUGGAAUUCCAUGUGUAGCGGUGAAAUGCGUAGAUAUAUGGAGGAACACCGGUGGCGAAAGCGGCUCUCUGGCUUGUAACUGACGCUGAGGCUCGAAAGCGUGGGGAGCAAACAGG
rnacentral:rRNA from 1 species